CCUACGGGAGGCUGCAGUGGGGAAUCUUCCGCAAUGGGCGAAAGCCUGACGGAGCAAUGCCGCGUGAGUGAAGAAGGCCUUCGGGUUGUAAAACUCUGUCCUAGACGAAGAGAGAGUAUUGUAGUAACUGACAAUACUAGGACGGUAGACUAGGAGGAAGCCCCGGCUAACUAUGUGCCAGCAGCCGCGGUAAAACAUAGGGGGCAAGCGUUGUCCGGAAUCACUGGGCGUAAAGGGCGCGCAGGCGGUAAAUUAAGUCAGGUGUGAAAGUUCGGGGCUCAACCCCGUGAUUGCACCUGAUACUGAUAAACUAGAGUGUUGGAGAGGUAAGUGGAAUUCCUAGUGUAGCGGUGGAAUGCGUAGAUAUUAGGAGGAACACCAGUGGCGAAGGCGACUUACUGGCCAAUAACUGACGCUGAGGCGCGAAAGCGUGGGGAGCAAACAGGAUUAGAUACCCCUGUAGUC
rnacentral:rRNA from 1 species